GACGAACGCUGGCGGCGUGCCUAACACAUACAAGUCGAACGGAAAGGUCCUGCUUUUGUGGGGUGCUCGAUAGGCGAACGCGUGAGUAACACGUGAGUAACAUGCCCUUGACUUUGGGAUAACUUCUGGAAACUGGGGCUCAUACCGGAUAGGAGCUCCUGCUGCAUGGGGGGGGUUGGAAAGUUUCGGUGGUGUGGGAUGGUCUAGCGGGUUAUCAGCUUGUUGGUGGGGUAGGGGAUUACCAAGGCUUUGACGGGUAGCCGGCCUGAGAGGUGGACCGGCGUCAUGGGUCCUGAGGUAGGGCCCAGACGCCUACGUGAGGCAGCGGGGGGGAAUAUUGCGCAGUGGGCGGAAGCCUGUGGCGGCAGCGCCGCGUGCGGGAUGACGGCUUUCGGGUUGUGAACCAAUUUCGCCGGUGACGAAGCGUGAGUGACGGUAAUGGGUAAAGAAGCACCGGCUAACUACGUG
rnacentral:rRNA from 1 species